ensembl:lncRNA
GGGGGGAUUUUUAAAAGGUCCAGCCUCACUUGACUUGACUGGGGUUGGUGGUGGAGGUGUUUGCGUCGGGGCUGGGUGGUCCUCCAUCUUGUGUGUGUGUGUGUGUGUGUGUGUGUGUGUGUGUGUGUGUGUGUGUGUGUGUGUGUGUGUGUGUGUGUGUGUGCUUGCACGUGGGUCCGUCUCGUCUUUCUGUCUCAUUACUCUCUGAAUGUGUCCGACCUGGCAAGCCUCCUUCUCUCCUUUGUUCCACAGCGACAGUCCUGAUGGCAAAUUGAUUUCGACUGUGUGAGAACAGACAUACAGACAGACACAGGAAAACGCUUCGGAAUAGCACAGGGGCCCUUCUUCCAAAAACCUGCCCCCCCUCCCUCCUUCACCCCUUCACCCCCACCCCGACAUCCACCUAGCCUACCACCUUUCCUGUCCUCUCCUGCUCCUCUUCCUCCUCCUCUGCCUCCUCUUCCUCUCCUCUGCCCCCCCUCCCCUUCUCUUGCUCCCGCUUCCACACCCCUCACCCCUUUCCCUCCCGUGGAAGAGGCCGGUCUCAUCCAUCCGUUCUGUCCCUCUCUUCCUUCCUUCCUUCCUUCCUUCCCGGGCUCCCAUCUCUGCCUCCCUCCGUCCCGUCCGCCCAUCCACCCCUCCGUCCUGUUCUCCGGGGGUGUCGGUCCGCCGUCGGGUGGUGGUGGUGGUGGUGGUGGUGGUGGUGGUGUCGUUGUGAGGACAGUAGCGGUUGGUGGGUGGAGGAUUGCCCGGAGAGCUCGGGCCCCGCCGGGGCCUACCGGCUCCCAGAGGGCAUGGCCCCCAGCGGGGCCUACCUGCUGGCCCUGCAGCAGCGAUACGGACUCUGAAUGCCCUGCUAGUCUCGCGGUCCCCCAACCGAGCAUUGGACUUGACCCGGUUUUAGUUUUUGUUUUUCAUCUCCUACUUCUUUCUUCUUCUACGUCUUCUUCUUCUCUCAAAAGACUGCCUUUGCUACUGCUUGUCUUUUCAUGCAUGUACAUGGUUGUGUCAUUUUGUUAAGAAAAUAACAAAAAAUAUCAAAAACGGAAAACUAAACUGACAUUUUCAUGUACUGUACAAGUGCCAAAAGACGUAAUUGUCGUUGUUCUGAUGCCACACGCAUACACAGACACACGCGCAUACACACACACACUCAUACAAAGACACACACACACACACAGACACACAACCAUACACACACACACAGACACACUCACACACACACACGUGGACUUGUUUACAAUAAGGCUGUGCAGCAGAUUACUGUGUUGGAUUCUGUUGGUCGUGCACUGUUCUGUGUGUCUUCGCUGAGCUGAUUUGAAUAUCCAGCAGGGCGCAUAGUGUGUGUGUCAAAUCUGCCUUAGGAGUUAUAUUCAACACACCAAAUUGUCCUGUAUCCGAAAUAUUUUUGUAAUGUAUGAGGGGAGGGAGGAAGAAAUAUUAAGUAACAUUCUAUAUUAAAAAAAGUUUACCCUUUUUUUAUUUUAUCCGUCCUACCGAAUCCUCAAUCUCUUCUGGCCUGAGCUUGCAUGUUUCCUCGUCUUGUGUGGUCUUUUGCCCACGGUGAAAGACAUAGUAUGGUAGGCUGAGACUCUGGCACUGGCCUUCCCGAUGUCAAUCAACAAAGACCAACUUAACGUAUUUAAAUGAACAGGCAGUUAGGGUUACUGCCUGCCGUUGGUCUAAUUUGGGAAUAUUUUUCUGGAUAGUAUUUUUGAGUAUUUAUCCAAUCAAUUUUUAAUAUUCCAUGUGGCGAUUCCUGGUGAAAUAAGAUUCCGGUCUUCAAAUUAAUGAUGUAAAAAAAAAAAAAAGAUCUCAAAGAUGCAGGGGGAUGGGGGGGGUCAAUUUGAAACAUCCACUUUCAACUGCGUUUAAAUUGCUUUCAUCAUAAUUCUGUUUAUGUACAUGCCCAGCGCAUAUUGGACCAUGUGAGCCGUUUUAGUGGAAAAAAAAACACUCAAAUUAAAGUUAGGUGGUUUUCACACAAAAACAGUGUUGCAAUUGUAUUCCCUGAGUGGCUAUGUAGUUUUUAGUCUUUCCUUUAAAGAAGUUGUUAUUGUCCUUGUAAAACGGCAAAAUAUUCCAGAAACAAAAAGAAAAUGCUGAUUUUCGUUGAAAGUGUUCAUCUUAUGCAUGCUGUUGAGGGAUCUCAUGUGGUACACAAAAUUGACCUUGAAUGUAUGGUGACUUUUUACAAAGGUAUUCUAAAUAAAACAUAUAUCUAUAUAUUAAUAAACAGUCUUGUCUGGAGAGAAAUCUGUUCUGUCGGUUAUCUGGCCUCCCUUUCUUUCUUUAAAAAUCACAUUCUGCGAUUUUUAUUAUCCUUUCCGGCCGCAUUGUGGACUGCUUCUUGCCAAGCAUGCACUGUGUUCAGUCGCUGCAUGCCAUCCAUAGGCAUGACCCUCCAUAGCCACGCCCACCACUUCCUGGUUCUUCCUACCUAGCCCCGCCUACCCCUUGCCUGGCCCCGCCCACCAGUGCUUCUUGGCUCCUCCCUCAUCUUCAUUGCGUGUGUGUGUAUGGUUUUCUGUUGAGUCGCUGCCGUUUGCUGCCUUGCUGCAUUGUGCGACUGCCUUGUGUUGCUAGGAUUGCGGUGGGUUGUUUAAAAGAAUGAUCUAGUCGGCGUUUGUGGUGAUCGUUCAAGCGAGGAUUUGUAAUUGUUUUGUGUGUGUGUGUGUUGAUGCUUUAGUGGAAUUUCGGCCGACCAGAGUCUCUGUUCUGAUCUUCUUGUUGAACUUCUUCAAAGCGACCGCUCUCUGGAGGUCUACCUCAGGCCUACCUUUAUGGAGGACCGUUCUGCGCCCAUCUUCUACUAGCAGACGGCCACGCACCCCGACCCUACCGCUCAAAGGGUCGGUCUCCGUACAUGAGCGGGAAGAAAAUGGCCGCCGCCAUCGGUUGGGUGCCAGUUCUGAUGACCGGCUCCCGAAAAAAAAAAAGUUGACACUUGUACCUUGGGGGCAACGAUCUUACAGUGACACUCAAAGUUUUUUGUUUUUUUCCCACACUGCAUAGCAUUCAAGUAGGCGGCUUUGGGCAACCCCGGCCGUUUAUCGUGCGUGCGUUAUCAUUGUGACGCUUUGCAAAUCACUUCAGGGCGGCAGGUUAACACUGAUUUAUGUGGUCAACUCUUGGCUGGAACGUUAGAGUCAGCGAAUCAGGAGGUUGUUUUCAUUGGCUAGCGGGUCGCACUCACGAUGGGAAACGUGGGGCUAAAGCCUCGCGUUGGGGGACAUUUACACUGAUGGAGGAUAGUGAAACUAAUAUAUACUCUCUGCGCAUCGCUGCUGUGGAAAAUGUCUUUAUUAAUUGUGAUUUGAGAAUUGUAUGCGUGUGUGUGUGUAUAUAUAUGUAUAUAUCGUUUAAGAUUUAAGCAGUGAUGGUGCUCUCUGAACAAGGUGUCCGUCAGUUGCUUGAAGAGCAGGUCGUCUGAAAUUAGCGUUAGGCUGCGAAAAGAUACAGUACUGGGUAAAUGUGUUUUUUGAAAGGUGCAUUGAAAGUGUGCAAUGGCUACAGUUAGAUCCUGUUUUUUUUUUUAAACGCUAGUUUCUAGCUCAGAACACAUCAUGUUAUAGUAACUAUACAGUAUACCAUUAAACUAUACAGUUUAAUUUGGGGACUGUGCCUUCAUUUUUUUAAAGGGGUUACAGCCUUGAUAUAAUCAAUAUUCUACGCACUGUUAUAUGAAAAUGAUUACGCAUCACAACUCUGCUUAUAUACUUUAUUUGGUUUAUGCUGUUACUUUGCCAUUUUGUUUUGUCUUCUGGUGAUCUUUAAUAAUCUAAAGUGCGUGACUGCAAGGUUAGUUGCUGUGAAAAAAAAGGCAGCAUCACUUUUGCCGAUAUAAGAAUAUAAUGAAUUGUCUUUUAUGUUAAUUCAAAGCAGCCAAAUAUUGGCCAGUCAAAAAUCCAUGUAAAUAAUGGGUCAUUUUGGAGUAUCAUUUUCAGCUUUAAUUAGAGUGGUAUCUUAUUGAUUCAUAUGAUUCAACUAUCAUAAUAUUGUCUUAUAAUAUGAUCAUUGUUUUACUGUGAGCUGACUUAUUGCUUCAAGUGCAAAUAAUCACCAGUAACAAUCAAGACAAUGUAUAUUUUAAACAACUUGCAUACUGGCAACUGUAUGGGGAGACGAUUGUUCGCGCUUUGCAAUCACGUUCUCAGAAAUGUCCAAUUGCUUUGGUUAUCAAACCGUUUUCUAACCGUUUGUCCUUUUCUCACUUUUUGUUCUUUCUUGUUCUGUAUAUUUGUGUUGUACAGGGCGUGCGGUACGUGGAGUUAUUGUGUCAAAUAAAAACUUCAUUGUGUACAGCAUUCAUAGUUGUGUCACCUGUGUUGUUCUCUUUGUCCGUGUGUACCUUUUUUAGAUUAUGCACACAUAAUUUCCCAGUCAAAC